UGGCUAAAUCACGUUGAAACUUCGGUUCCCGUACGAUCACCGAAGUUAAGCAACCUCGAGCCUCGUCAGUACCUAGAUAGGUAACCACUUGGGAAUACUAGGUGCUAU